rnacentral:tRNA from 1 species
GUGCCCUUAGCUCAGCUGGAUAGAGCAACAGCCUUCUAAGCUGUGGGUCGUUGGUUCGAGUCCAACAGGGCACGCCA